CUCUACGGCCAUGCCACCAUGAACAAGCCUGAUCUCGUCUGAUCGUGGAAGCUAAGCAGGGUUGGGCCUGGUUAGUACUUGGAUGGGAGACCAUGUAGGAAGACCAGGUGCUGUAAGCG
rnacentral:rRNA from 1 species